rnacentral:tRNA from 1 species
GGGCGACUAGCUCAGUGGAAGAGCAUCUCACUGAUAAUGAGAAGGCCGAAGGUUCGAUCCCUUCGUCGCCCA